rnacentral:rRNA from 1 species
AUUGAACGCUGGCGGCAUGCCUUACACAUGCAAGUCGAACGGUAACAGGUUAAGCCGACGAGUGGCGAACGGGUGAGUAAUAUAUCGGAACGUGCCCCGUCGUGGGGGAUAACGUAGCGAAAGCUACGCUAAUACCGCAUACGAUCUACGGAUGAAAGCGGGGGAUCGCAAGACCUCGCGCGCUUGGAGCGGCCGAUAUCAGAGUAGGUUGUUGGUGAGGUAAAAGCUCACCAAGCCUGCGAUCUGUAGCUGGUCUGAGAGGACGACCAGCCACACUGGAAAUGAGACACGGUACAGACUCCUACGGGAGGCAGCAGUGGGGAAUUUUGGACAAUGGACGCAAGUCUGAUCCAGCAAUGCCGCGUGCAGGACGAAGGCCUUCGGGUUGUAAACUGCUUUUGUACGGAACGAAACGGUGAGCUCUAAUACAGUUUGCUAAUGACGGUACCGUAAGAAUAAGCACCGGCUAACUACGUGCCAGCCGCCGCCGUAA